GCAUUGCUGAAGAGUCCCAUACUAGAACAAAACAGCCGUCCAAUGC
rfam:Schistosoma margrebowiei strain Zambia genome assembly, scaffold: SMRZ_contig0001586